UACGUAGGGCGCAAGCGUUGUCCGGAAUUAUUGGGCGUAAAGAGCUCGUAGGCGGUUUGUCGCGUCUGCUGUGAAAUCCCGAGGCUCAACCUCGGGCCUGCAGUGGGUACGGGCAGACUAGAGUGUGGUAGGGGAGACUGGAAUUCCUGGUGUAGCGGUGGAAUGCGCAGAUAUCAGGAGGAACACCAAUGGCGAAGGCAGGUCUCUGGGCCACAACUGACGCUGAGGAGCGAAAGCGUGGGGAGCGAACAGG
rnacentral:rRNA from 1 species